UACGAAGGGGGCUAGCGUUGCUCGGAAUCACUGGGCGUAAAGCGCACGUAGGCGGAUUGUUAAGUCAGGGGGGAAAUCCUGGAGCUCAACUCCAGAACUGCCUUUGAUACUGGCGAUCUCGAGUCCGGGAGAGGUGAGUGGAACUGCGAGUAUAGAGGUGAAAUUCGUAGAUAUUCGCAAGAACACCAGUGGCGAAGGCGGCUCACUGGCCCGGUACUGACGCUGAGGUGCGAAAGCGUGGGGAGCAAACAGG
rnacentral:rRNA from 1 species